UCUCGGAGGGAGCACCGGUCUCCGAGCGGGAGAGGGGGCUGAUGAGAGGGGGCUCCGCCGCCCCGAGGCCGGGCAGGGCGGCCAGGCGCCCGCCGGGGCUGAGCGUUCCCCGCGCGGUGCCGCCGCGGCUCCCUGCCCCACUCGCCCCUUCGCGGCGGCCAGAGACGAGUCCGUCUCUCCCGGCGUUAGCCCCGAGCUUCUCCCGGGAAGCCGCCGAGGGCAGAGAAACCCACCGCCUCUCCCCGCCGGGACCGCGCCCCCCACGCCGGCCGCCCGCUGCCCAUUGGCAGCGCGGGGGAGGCGGCGGCGGUCGCCGUCCCGGCGGCGGAGCUGCCCUCCCUGCCGGGCACGGCGCGACGUUACCUGCCGACUUAGGCGGCGGGCUCGGUUCAGGCACACCGACCAACGGCAGCGCGGAUUAGGUGGCCGCUCCGCUGCUGGUUUGGUUUAGUUAAUUACGGGGAAAACCACCCCACCCUCUCGGCGGGGAGGCCCAAGCAUCAACUCCUGCAAAAGGACACGGCGUGGCCCGCGGUGCCGGUGCCACCGCCCAGAGCCGCCGGGCAGCCCCGCGGCGGCCGACACUUCCGCCGGGGCGGGCGGAGCCGUCCGUCUCCGCUCCGCCCGCCAGCUGCGCCCGCCCCCCGCCGCCGGGCCGGGGGGAGCCGCGGUAGCCGAGAGGGAAGGGGAGACGUGCCCGACCCCCUAAAAGUUCAUAUCCUCAAUGGAUGACAAAGUAGGUGGAAGCAUAUGAGUGUGAAGAGGUGGGGUUUUUUUCCUGACCAGCUUCAUUCAGGACCAUAGAUUAAGGAACUUCUUGUAGAAAUCUCUUGAUCAUAUGUAUUUACCUCUCUCCAAGAAGUUUGUAAAGCAAUAAUUUGCUUGACAAGAAAAGUGGGGAAGCCUAAGACAGCUGACAAACUGGGAAGAAAUGCUAGAAACUUGGCUGGCUAAUCUGGAUAUUUCUAUCGCUUCAUCAUGAGAAUUAACUGUGCAUAUUUCUCAAGAGUUUUGAGCUGAGAAUAAAGUAGUUUUUGUUGGUUACUGCCAGUUCUCUAAGAGCUCAGUUUGCAAAGCUGUGUUUUAUUCCUCUGUCCUGUAGUCCUGAUCCAUGAUGAUAUUUGUUAUGACAGCUUCCUUUUUGCUGGGUUCUGUCACAUAAAUUGAGUUACUCCACAAAAAAUAAACAUUUUUUUUUUUCUCAGAGAGAGAGGAAAACAAUUAAUUUGCAAAAGUUUUAUGAAUAAUAAUAUGUUAAACUUCCUGAACUUUUUUCUUUGGCUUGGUAUGAAGUCUUUUGUAGUAGUGCUGUGACUGAAUUUUAUAAACACGGCAACAUCUGUGACUAGAUCUCUUUUGCCUUCACUUUUUAUUACAGAAUUCACUCAGCCUUGUCUUAACAAGGUACAGAAUCUUUAGUAAGUGACCCAAAUGUAGCAUGGUAGUCUAAUCGACUACAUAAGCAUGUGAACUAUUAUGCCACUCAGAGACAUCAGUGUAAUCAUUACUAGAAAGAAAUCCCAAACCAGAACCUUGUGGUGUUUUUUGGUUUUGGCAAAUUAAUGGUGUUGAAAUAUGCUACACUGCCAACUUGGAAACUGAAGACCUUACACCAUCGUGGUGUGACUUGUACUAUCUCAGUUAUGAUCUGGAGACAAAGCCUGGGAGAGAGUUUGAAGUGGUUUUAUUCUCUCUGUCAAUUCAAUCAUUGCCUUUUUGUGCAAAUAUGCCAAUUCUGGUAUCUGCUUCUAUGCUGAUUUCGUAAUGUGGAUAUCUCUCCACUGGGACUGAAAUAGUUUGUUCCUAAUUAGUCAUAUAUGUUAGCCAACACCAUCAGCUGAUAGUAGCUUUACUCCUCUGACUGGGAUUCCAGCAAGAAACCUAAGCAUGGAAAGCUUUAUAUGAUAUUGUUAACAGUGCAUCUUCAUCUUUACUUGAGAGGAACAAUUAUUAAUCUGAAGCUCUGAACUUAUUUUCUUGUGAUUGUGGAAAUGGUCCCCAGUAUGACAGCCAAAUAUUAGCACAUUUUUGGAUACUUUUAUGUGUAUGGAGUCAAAGUUGGAUUCCAAAAUUAAGACAGAAUUUCCUGGUUUAGCAUUGAUUUGUCUCUAAUAAUCUCUGCAGUAUAAACAGUGUCUCUUUGUUUUUAGUCUGCUAUUUCUUUUGUGUUUCUCUCCAAAAGAAGGCUUAUCAAUUUUUUGGGGGGAAGGGUUUUUGUUUGUUUUUUAUUUGGACAGGUGGUUUGGAGACUAAAACAUAAUGUACAGCUUAUGGAGUACCAUUCUGUUCUCAAUGAAUGAAGCAUUACACUGGCUCAGUUUCUUUCCUUCUUUUCACUUUCCCACUUGGAUAGUGACAAGGGUCUAGAAGAACAGGUUUUUGGAAAGGAGGAGUGGGAUAGUGUUUGGAAAGCUGUAAUGAAUUUAAUCCUAAUAUCAUAAGACUGCUUGACCCACAAGUUGGAUUUUUUUUCUUUGUAUUUCCUAUUCACACUAAUGCCAUUUUCUUGUUAAAGAGUGGUUCCUGCAGAAAAUGCCUUACCAACUCCACUGGGCUCCUUUGUUCUUCCAUUAGCUUAAACGUGAUUUUCUAGUUCUUGAAGAAGUGAACAUUGUGUGACUGAAUUGUGCCAGAUGCAGGACCGGAGAACUUAGAACAAAAAUGUCUUGGAGGACCAGCAGGUACUAUAGACUCUACAGUCUACAAUUAGGCACUCUCUCUGCUUCAUCUUCCCUAGGAAAGGGGAUUAUGCAUGUUAUUGGAUUUGAAGGAUUUCUAAGUUAGUAUAUUUACAUGCAACGAGAGUAGAAGAGAGGAGUAAACCACCAAAGUCACCAGCAGUAAGAUUCAAGAAGAGUCAAAUUUAACUAAACCACUUUGAUUUCCCAUGCAUUUUCUCUCAUUUUCAAGAAGUGUAAAACCUGUUUCUUGUAGUUGCCAGGUUUACAUAUAUCUUUUUAUAUUAAUUGACAAUAUAUUGCUUGUGGAGACUGUACUUCUGUAGCUUUCAGCUUUUAGCUCUUCCCUCUUGCAUCAUGUGUGUGCGUGUUCUUUUCCUAGUGAUGUCUCCAGAUGAUGCAGAAUUAAUGCUGGCUGAGCUAUAUUUAUCCCUCCUCGCCCAGAAGGAUGGGUGGAUGAAAGUAGUGAGUAAUGGGAAAAGUUGCUGUUUAACAAACUGCAGAGGAUGGUGGCUUUUGUUUGAGCUCUGUUCUUUCAUAGCCAUCCAAAUUGUUAGCAACUUCCAUAUACUUCUGUGGGAAUCCUUGGUACUUUGAAAGGUACAGUGAAAAACAGCAACUGGCCUUAGAUCUGAACAAUAGGGAACUAAAAUGUUUGCUCUUUAAAAUACAGAAGUUAUUCCAUAUUGAACUGUACUAUGCUGACUUCUGAUUGGACUCUAUACCUGCUUAUUGCUCUCUUUUCAGCAGCAGUAUCCUAUCUGCUAUCUGUGGAAGGCUGUGGUUUUGCCUUUGCUGGAAUAACCAGCUCAAAGAUGUAAGAUUAAAAAAUGAGGCCAUGAGAAGCAGGAAAGGAACCUGUUUGCUAAUGUCGGGUAUUUCCCACACCUUGGCUUGAACUCCUUCCUGAUCGUACAAUCUUCUGUCAGGGUAAAGAAACCUGUCUUUAGGGGCAGAGGGUCUUAGGGGUAUAGGACCCCUUCCUACAUGUAUUUUCAAUAGUAUAUGCCUAUUUAUAGAUAGGUCUCUCUUAUUAUGCAGUGUUGUUAGCAAAAUAAGAUGCAGAUUGUACCUCCUUGGAUUAACCAGGUGAAUGUAGUUCCUUCUGCAAAAAAUAAAAACCAAACCACCUCUGGCUGGUCUGGUAUUUCAGUCCUACAGUGAACUGCUAAGCUAGAAUAAGAAAGAUCAGCUCAGGUCCUCCAGCCUCUGCAGCCGCUUCCUUUGUUGUUUGAACUUUGUAUUCCAGCAGUUCCUGCAAUAAUUUUGUUUUGUCUUUGUGUGACAGACAGUUGCUGCCCCAGACAUUGUGACAGAGACCUGGAACAAGAAAAUACCUCACUGAACUUCUAAAACCUCAAAUCUAUUAUUUAGAAUAGAACUGCAAUGUUGGAUGGCCUCAGAUUAGACUUUAUCCUAGCUUUAAUCCUUCCCCCCCCUCCCCCGGCUCUGGGUGUUGCAUUCUUAUGAGCAAGCAAGCAUUGAUGCACAAAGACUUAUAAUUGCAGCAGUAUUGCAAUUUACUUUCCCAUGAUAAUGCAGCCAGCCAACCUGAAAUUCACCUAUACGAAAUGGACUGGAGGGAAGUAUAGCACUUCAGGUUUGUUGUGAGUCAGUCAUUUUAGGCUUCGAAAAAAAAUAAUCUGUGUGUAUGUGUGCAAUUUAUAAUUAUAGGAGAAGCAGUAGCAACAGUUUCCAUACAAAGAUUACUGAAUUCUUUCAAAUUAAAAAAAUUCUUAUGAUCUUUUAUUAAGUGUUCUGUGCCUCAAUGGUUAGCAACAGGCCUUUGAAACUUGGCAGGAGGAUAAUCUUGGCAUCCUUUUUGUUGGCUUAAUGAAAAAACAUUUAGAUUGCAUGAAUUAUAAGAUAUUGAAAUACCAUUUCUUGUCUUUGGUUUGUGCUAUAGAUUCAAUUCUGGCAACAUGUCAAAAUCCUGCAAUAAUCUACAGAGUUUGUGGAUGCCCCAUGUCAGCAUCUUUCUUCUGCAUGCUAUAUACUGUAAGUGGGACACACAGAGAAUCGUAAUCACCCUUCAGCUUGGAAUAUCCUUUUCCCUGCAAGCAUUGUCCACUGAGAGCAAAGAAAUGAUGGUUCUACACUUGCUUCUUUUCCUAACUUGCAUUAAUAAUUUUUAUUAUAUAAUACCUACUGUGCAUUUACACCAAAUGGGAUAAAUGAAGACAGAUUUUUGUCUACAGUUAGGGUAUCAGCCUAGGGUAUGGGAGGUGUAGGUUCAGUACCCUAGCUGACUACAGAUAAUGAAUGUAAGUUUUUACACAAGUAAAUUAGCCUUUCUGUGUCUCAGUUCCUUUUCUGCCAGACAAGAGGAGGACUUUUCUAUUUUCCUCGCACUGGGUGAGAAUAAAUGCAUUCAAAAAUGUCAUGUGCUCUGGUAAUACAGUGCAUUGGAGAACUUAGUGAUAUUUUACCUGGCUGAGUUAAAUUUACUUAGCAGUGUUCAUUCUCUAGUCUAAAGUAAACAGACUGUAGAUUAAACUCCUGUAUAUUAAAAAAAACAACAACAAAACCAACCCUGUACCAUAACAUAUAUUAUGAGAAGGCAGAAUUAAAUUGCACAAUUAUUUGUUGCUAUGUCUUAGUUGUUGAGCGCAUUGCUUAUUAAAUGUAAUUCUAGCUUAAUAGCUAUAGCGUGCUAUGUAAUAUAACAUGAGGGAUUUUUAAUUGUAUUCAGGCCAUACCAUGAUCAACAAAACUGUCAUUAACUUCAGUGGAAGCCAGAUAAGAUUACUGGAUAAAAAUUUCAGGAAAGGGUGGUUUUUGGUUCCCCCCCCUCCUCCUGUCAUCAAAGCUUUUACGUUGUUCUGGUUUUUGAAAACCCUCUUAGCUUAUAGCAUAUUGCAUUAUAAAACCUAUACAAAAACUUACCUUAAAAGAAUGCUAACCAGGUUACAAAGUGAAGCUUUCCAAAGACAUCAGAAAAUGCUGAACUUCAAGGUGCCUUUGCAAUAAAACAGUGAGCGAGCUUAUGUCAGAGCUGCAUUCAUUCACAAUCACCACGUAGUCUCAUUGUGCUCAUACCACACUGCUGCAUAUAAUAGGAAAAUAAUAAUUAAAUAUAUCCCAGAGGUGGUUUUAGACACAAUUCUGGUUUGCUUGGGGACAGGGGAGGAAUCAAAGAGCCAAAAGGCAAGAGGUUUUCUUAGGAAAUAUGUCAGAUUGGAUACUCUGCUUCUGUGUUGCAGGAAAUGAUAAAAAAGCAAAAAUUUGAAACUAAAAAAUAUUAACCCUCUUUUUUGUUGUAGGAGUCUCCACAAGAAUGGAAAAAUGUAAAUCAAGGCCAUUAGUUAACAGUAGGAAACUCAAAGCAAACUCAGAGGUGUUAUAUGGGCCCAUGGUAGUAUGGGAUAACCAAUUUUCAUUGGCUGCUUUUCUGGGCAAAUGUAACUGGCAGAGUUUCAAACACACAAGUGUGGGCAUACACUUCUGGGGAAAAAAAAAUCAAAACCCAAACCCAACACUUUACUGUCAUUUGGAUGUUCUUACCUUCAAGUUUUAUAGCACUGUAUCACACUGUCAUACUAAUAUAGUUCAAGAAAAGAUGUACUAGUGGAUUGAGUGUACACGCAUAACUUGCUUUCCAAAUCCCUUUAACUUGUUUAUCAUUGGCUGUUAAACAUCUUUGUAAGUGGGAAUAUAAGAAAUAGGUUGGAGAUAGGAAAAGAGAGACCAAAUUUCCAAUAGUUUAGCUUAGGAAUGGCAAAUGACAUCAUCAUUACUGUAUUUAUUUCUUUGUCAAUAAGAUUAAACUACAUACUUUACU